GUUCUUGUAGUUAAAUUUACUAACAAUGAUUUUUCAGGUCGUAAAUCCUGGAGAGAGGCCGGGCAAGAACU
rnacentral:tRNA from 1 species